AUGGGAGACGAAAGUGUGCUGGAGCGUAUACUUAACAGAGAUGAGGAACCAAGGGAUCUGCCAUUAGCACUGUUACAGCGCAUCACGAAGGAUUUCUCCAAAGAGAACAAAAUUGGUGAAGGUGGAUUUGAAGAGGUCUACAAGGGUGAACUCCGGAACGGAAUUACUGUUGCUGUGAAGAGGAUUGAAGUGAAUCAAUUCACAAUUGAUGACAUGUCAUUUUGCCGUGAGUUUGAUAGCCUGAUGAAGAUCAACCAUCAAAAUGUAGUCCGGUUUCUUGGCUUCUGUUCUAAUACACAUCAUACAUCAAUAGAAGAGGCUGGAGAAAUUAACCUUGUCAAUGUUAGAGAAAGAUUGCUCUAUUUUGAGUACAUCCGCAAUGGAAGUCUUGAUAAGUAUAUUACUGGUACUUCGAAGGUGGAGGCAUAG
rnacentral:rRNA from 1 species